GCUUGUCUCAAAGAUUAAGCCAUGCAUGUCUAAGUGUAAAUAAGUCUAUACUGUGAAACUGCGAAUGGCUCAUUAAAUCAGUUAUCGUUUAUUUGAUGAUCUCUUACUACUUGGAUAACCGUAGUAAUUCUAGAGCUAAUACAUGCGUCAGAACCCAACUUUACGGAAGGGUCGUGUUUAUUAGAUACAAAACCAACAUCUCGUUGGUGAUUCAUAAUAACCAAGCGAAUCGUCGGUUUACCGACGAUAGAUCGUUCAAGUUUCUGACCUAUCAGCUUUGGUCGGUAGGGUAUUGGCCUACCGAGGCAAUGACGGGUAACGGAGAAUUAGGGUUCGAUUCCGGAGAGGGAGCCUGAGAAACGGCUACCACAUCUAAGGAAGGCAGCAGG
rnacentral:rRNA from 1 species